CAGUUCGGAUUGAAGGCUGAAAUUCGCCUUCAUGAAGCCGGAAUUGCUAGUAAUGGCAGGUCAGCAUACUGCCGUGAAUACGUUCCCGGGCCUUGUACACACCGCCCGUCACACCAUGAGAGUUGGGAAUACCCGAAGCCUGUGAGCUAACGAAAGAGGCAGCAGUCGAAGGUAGAAUCAAUGAUUGGGGUGAAGUCGUAACAAGGUAGC
rnacentral:rRNA from 1 species